rnacentral:pre_miRNA from 1 species
GACAGCUUUAUUGAUGAUGUUACUUCUUGUUAAUAAAAGAAGACAUCAGAUAAAUCUGUGCU